UCCGCUUCCUGGAAGCUCGGUUUCGGCGUGCCUAUCAUGCAAAUCUAGCUAUUAAUGAUACCAUCCCCUUCCGGACGGUAGCUUUUUGGCAGGAUUUUCGGGGAACGCCUCCCUCCUCCCUAGCAGAACAGAGGGAUCAGAAAAACAGCCCACGAAGCAGCCUCGCGUUGCCUUCAUGUUGCCUGCAGGGGAAGGCUCCUUUACCGCCCUUCGUUCCCACUUCCUGUCUACAGCUCGAUGAACGACUGCAGUUCCUUUCUUGGCGAGCUGCACGCCCGACUCGGAUGAGUGCCAUUCGCAAGGAUUCCCGUGAGGAGACCGAGCAAACUCAGCCUGGCCAGAUGCCGACUGGUUCGCUGAGCGUUCCCGGGCCUAGGGAGGCCACACCCCAGAGCUUAGCGGGAGGUGAUGAAACCAUUUUAUCAACAUGAAGACGAAACACAAAACAUAUAGCGUUCUGGUUAGAGACAUUUUUCUAUUGCGUGGCAGUCAGCCUUUCCUGGCUUGCGGACCAUUUUCAACGCGCGAGUCUUCUUCUGGCUUGCGGGUUGUUUUUGGAACGCAAGUCUGUCUCGCUCUUUGGCGUGCGGAUCAUUUUUGGAACGCGAGUCUGCUCUUUGGCUUGCGGAUCAUUCUCAGCACGCGAGUCUCUGGUUUGGGGAUCACUUUUGGAACGCAAAUUUCUUCGGAGUUGCAGUUGGAUUGUCCUCCCGAGGUAUUAGGACCCCUCGAGAUACUAGGAACCGCCGAGGUACUAAGAACCCCCCAGAUACUAAGAACCCCCGAGAUACUAAGAACCCCCGAGGUAUUAAGAACCCC
rnacentral:sRNA from 1 species